ACUCCCUUUCUUGUCAGGUACCAGGUAUGUACGUUCCCUGUUAUGUCUGGAGGCGGAGGGAAAGAGCUCUAGUCCCCUGGGCAUCAUGUCUUUGAUGCCAAUGGCUUCCUGUCUGCCAGUUUUAUCAUCAAGCACCAGGACACGG
ensembl:snoRNA